CCGACGUCCCAUAGCAGGUUGCGAUGGCCCCCACGGGUGUUGACGCAAUGUGAUUUCUACCCAGUGCUCUGAAUGUCAUCGUGAAAAAAUUCAAAAAAGCGCGGGUAAACGGCGGGAGUAACUAUGACUCUCUCUAUAACACCUUUUUAGGGGUCAUGGUUGCAGGGUCGGUGAUGCGUAAUACAGACCUCUUGUUAGGUCCUUCAGCCUCUCCCGACCAAGUCGCACACAUACCUCCUAGUGGUACCCGCCGGUAACAUGCUGCCCUGAAUGAUCUGGCACCAUGGCUGAACUGUGUGCGACGACUCAGGACCUUGCCGGCUGCCUCUCGGUCCUUAUUUAGCUGGCACUAGAACGAGGAAAAAAUGCCUCGGAUGAUACCGCAGUAGGUAGUGGGCCUUCUGGCUCGGCUGCCCCAGCUUUUUUAACCUCUUCCUCUAGUUCUAAUCUUCCUUCUUCUUCUUCUUUUUCUUUGUCUGCCAAUGGUACGUCUACUGCUUGUGCGGUUCCUGCUUCUACUAACGCGAACAAGUUCGCCUGCGAGUUUUCGGGCUGUGGUCGCUCCUUUGCCACUAAGAUCGGACUUGGAGUCCAUUUUAGGAGAGUUCAUCCUGUGGCUCGUGACGAGCAGGUAAUUCCUGCGCAAAUUAAAGUUAAAUGGUCUGAUGAAGAACGUAUGCGCUUGGCCUGAAAGGAAGCAGCCCUUAUUAUGGAAGGUCAUCA
rnacentral:ncRNA from 1 species